rnacentral:rRNA from 1 species
GAUAGUGGCGAACGGGUGAGUAACGCGUAAGUAACCUACCUCUAAGUGGGGGAUAGCUUCGGGAAACUGAAGGUAAUACCGCAUGUGGUGGGCCGACAUAUGUUGGUUCACUAAAGCCGUAAGGCGCUUGGUGAGGGGCUUGCGUCCGAUUAGCUAGUUGGUGGGGUAAUGGCCUACCAAGGCUUCGAUCGGUAGCUGGUCUGAGAGGAUGAUCAGCCACACUGGGACUGAGACACGGCCCAGACUCCUACGGGAGGCAGCAGCAAGGAAUCUUGGGCAAUGGGCGAAAGCCUGACCCAGCAACGCCGCGUGAGGGAUGAAGGCUUUCGGGUUGUAAACCUCUUUUCAUAGGGAAGAAUAAUGACGGUACCUGUGGAAUAAGCUUCGGCUAACUACGUGCCAGCAGCCGCGGUAAUACGUAGGAAGCAAGCGUUAUCCGGAUUUAUUGGGCGUAAAGUGAGCGUAGGUGGUCUUUCAAGUUGGAUGUGAAAUUUCCCGGCUUAACCGGGACGAGUCAUUCAAUACUGUUGGACUAGAGUACAGCAGGAGAAAACGGAAUUCCCGGUGUAGUGGUAAAAUGCGUAGAUAUCGGGAGGAACACCAGAGGCGAAGGCGGUUUUCUAGGUUGUCACUGACACUGAGGCUCGAAAGCGU